CGCGGAGUAGAGCAGUUGGUAGCUCGUCGGGCUCAUAACCCGGAGGUCGCAGGUUCGAGUCCUGUCUCCGCAA
rnacentral:tRNA from 2 species